rnacentral:rRNA from 1 species
CCUACGGGUGGCAGCAGUGAGGAAUAUUGGUCAAUGGCCGCAAGGCUGAACCAGCCAAGUAGCGUGAGGGAAGACGGCCCUAUGGGUUGUAAACCUCUUUUAUGCGGGGAUAAACGUGUCCACGUGUGGCUGUUUGCAGGUACCGCAUGAAUAAGGACCGGCUAAUUCCGUGCCAGCAGCGGCGGUAAUACGGAAGGUCCGGGCGUUAUCCGGAUUUAUUGGGUUUAAAGGGAGGGAAGGCCGGUCUUUAAGCGUGCUGUGAAAUGUUGUGGCUCAACCCUGGGAGUGCGGCGCGAACUGGGGAGCUUGAGUGCGCGGAAGGCAGGCGGAAUUCGUGGUGUAGCGGUGAAAUGCUUAGAUAUCACGAAGAACCCCGAUUGCGAAGGCAGCCUGCCGCAGCGUUACUGACGCUGAGGCUCGAAAGCGCGGGGAUCGAACAGGAUUAGAUACCCUGGUAGUC